UUUUAUUUGAGAGUUUGAUCCUGGCUCAGGAUGAACGCUGGCGGCGUGCCUAACACAUGCAAGUUGAGCGAUUUACUUCGGUAAAGAGCGGCGGACGGGUGAGUAACGCGUGGGUAACCUACCCUGUACACACGGAUAACAUACCGAAAGGUAUGCUAAUACGGGAUAAUAUAUUUGAGAGGCAUCUCUUGAAUAUCAAAGGUGAGCCAGUACAGGAUGGACCCGCGUCUGAUUAGCUAGUUGGUAAGGUAACGGCUUACCAAGGCGACGAUCAGUAGCCGACCUGAGAGGGUGAUCGGCCACAUUGGAACUGAGACACGGUCCAAACUCCUACGGGAGGCAGCAGUGGGGAAUAUUGCACAAUGGGCGAAAGCCUGAUGCAGCAACGCCGCGUGAGUGAUGAAGGCCUUCGGGUCGUAAAACUCUGUCCUCAAGGAAGAUAAUGACGGUACUUGAGGAGGAAGCCCCGGCUAACUACGUG
rnacentral:rRNA from 1 species